UGCGUUGUCGUCAGCUCGUGUCGUGAGAUGUUGGGUUAAGUCCCGCAACGAGCGCAACCCUUGUCUUUAGUUGCCAUCAUUCAGUUGGGCACUCUAAAGAGACUGCCGGUGUCAAACCGGAGGAAGGUGGGGAUGACGUCAAGUCCUCAUGGCCUUUAUGACCAGGGCUACACACGUACUACAAUGGCCGGUACAAAGGGCAGCCACUUAGCGAUAAGGAGCCAAUCCCGUAAAGCCGGUCUCAGUCCGGAUUGGAGUCUGCAACUCGACUCCAUGAAGUUGGAAUCGCUAGUAAUCGCAGAUCAGCACGCUGCGGUGAAUACGUUCCCGGGCCUU
rnacentral:rRNA from 1 species